rnacentral:rRNA from 1 species
GACGAACGCUGGCGGCGUGCCUAAUACAUGCAAGUCGAACGAGAGCGACCGGUGCUUGCACUGGUCAAUCUAGUGGCGAACGGGUGAGUAACACGUGGGUAACCUGCCCAUCAGAGGGGGAUAACAUCCGGAAACGGAUGCUAAAACCGCAUAGGUCUUUGAGCCGCAUGGCUCGAAGAGGAAAAGAGGCGCAAGCUUCUGCUGAUGGAUGGACCCGCGGUGCAUUAGCUAGUUGGUAAGGUAACGGCUCACCAAGGCCGUGAUGCAUAGCCGACCUGAGAGGGUGAUCGGCCACAUUGGGACUGAGACACGGCCCAGACUCCUACGGGAGGCAGCAGUAGGGAAUCUUCCGCAAUGGACGCAAGUCUGACGGAGCAACGCCGCGUGAGUGAAGAAGGUUUUCGGAUCGUAAAACUCUGUUGUUAGAGAAGAACAAGUGCGAGAGUAACUGUUAGCGCCUUGACGGUAUCUAACCAGAAAGCCACGGCUAACUACGUG